CACAAGUCAUUGCCAGCACGGAUUAGAGCUUUUAUAUCCAACUUUUCUCCAUGCCCUUAUCUUUACUAGGGGAAAGGAAUAAAACUACCAGAAAAAUGUGACUCUUCCUCUCUGAAUUUUCUGCAUUCCAGCCAUGGAUGGAAAGAGUCUCAGACCCAAAUGAUAUGAGACCCAGACAGGAUAAUGUGACACUCAAUCCCCACUCUCACUGAGGCAUACCUCUGUUUGGCAAACCAUUGAAGAAAGAUGCUGUAAAGAGUGCAGUCCUCAAAAAAGCUGAGAAGCCCAUGCUGAGGGACUGUUGGCCUCUCAAGACUGCAACCAUGGCUGAGUGCUGAGCUACGUUCAGAAGAAUUUUGGUACUAUGCAGCACUAAGAUCCAAAUGUAAACCACUACCACGUACCUGCUUCUGAACAGACAAGCACAUGCAGAUAGAAUGUCACAGCAGCAGAUAACUCUUGGCUGUUGAAUAAAGAUGAUUCACUUCUUUAAUGCUACA
rnacentral:lncRNA from 1 species